AGAGUAGCUCAGUUGGUAGAGCACAACCUUGCCAAGGUUGGGGUCGCGGGUUCGAAUCCCGUCUCCC
rnacentral:tRNA from 3 species